rnacentral:lncRNA from 1 species
CGCUUUGACGCGUGAUCUUCUUUGUUGUGCCGUGUUGUCCCUUGUUUUGUACUUGCUUCGACUUCUUUUGAAUCUUGCAUUGGAGUUUUUUUUCCUUUUUUUCAAGAAACUAUAUAUUUUUUUGUUCUUUUCUUUAUUCUUUUUUUUGUGGGGUUUUUGCUUCUUUUGAAGUCCUUUUUUCAUUUUUUUCCAUCUGGGACAGUAUUCUUUCCAUUUUGCAUUUUUUAUCCUAGGAAGAUCUGGAAGACGCGAAUUAAGGCAGAAUGCUAGGGUCAGUUUGGGUCACUAGUGUAGGAAAUUUCUUGGUGGGGGUAUUAUUCUUGUUAUGAUACCUUGUUUCAUGCUUUAUUACGAAUCUGUUUACUUUUCUUUAUUUACUAUUACUUGUGGGUGUCGUAUUUAUGUUAUGCCUUCUUAUUUCAUGCUUUACUAUGAAUUUAUUUAGUAUUCCGUGUCUCGAGCCGGGGGUUUAUCGGAAAUAGUCUUUCUACUUCUUUAGAGGUACAGGUAUGGACUGCGUACAUCUUACCCUUCCCAGAUCUCACUCUGUGGGAAUAC